GCUGGGCAUGUUAGUGCAUGCCUGUAGUCCCAGCUACUCAGGAAGCUGAGGCAGGGGGAUUGCUUAAGUUUAGGAGGUCAAGGCUGCAGUGAGCCAGGAUUGUGCCACUGCACUCCAGCCUGGGCGACAGAGCAAGACCCUGUCUCAA
rnacentral:SRP_RNA from 1 species